rnacentral:misc_RNA from 1 species
UACGGUGUAUGGCUCACAUGC